CACAAAAUUAUGUAAAUAACUGUCAUCAUCUGUAAUUUGUCAUGGUUAUAUUUUUAUUAGUGUUUAAGCCUGUAGUGUUUACGACUGGUGUGUUUUUAUGCGAAUAUUUACAGUUCGAAUCCGGAUUGUUGUUUUAUGUUUCUCAGAAUCGUUUAUUGUCUUCUUCUACGUUAUAAAAUUACUGACAGACUAUGUGCAGAUCUAAAGAGGCUGAAUUUAUUAGAUGGAAAAUGAACAACAAAUUGAAUUAACAGAGUUUACAGAUGUUAAGGUCCAGGAUGAGGACGAUUUUGCAACCGAACAACACAAACCAGCCUCCAAAAAAAUGAAAUAUGUUUGGAGGACCUUGGAAAUCGUCAUAAUAACAUCGAUAGUCUUACUGAUUAGUUUCAUAAUAAGAAAAGCCAUUGGAAGUAAAUAUUUGCAUCCUGCAUAAUACAUUUGUAUAAUUAUAAUUAAUGAGACUGACACAGUGCAGUUUAAAGCUAGUGCUGGAAUACACAUAUACAUGUAUACAGACGAGUAUGACAAUUGCCAAACAUGAACAAGAAAAUAGCAAAAUAAAGCUAGAAAUCCGUAUAUUAUUUAUAUCUAUUUGUUAUUCAUUUACUUGACAUUAUUAUUGAUGAUUUUAUCAUUAUUGCUU